CGCCACUCGGCCUCGUCCAGC
rnacentral:miRNA from 1 species